rnacentral:rRNA from 1 species
CCUACGGGAGGCAGCAGUGGGGAAUAUUGGGCAAUGGGCGCAAGCCUGACCCAGCAACGCCGCGUGAAGGAAGAAGGCUUUCGGGUUGUAAACUUCCUUUGACAGGGAAGAGUAGAAGACGGUACCUGUCGAAUAAGCCACGGCUAACUACGUGCCAGCAGCCGAGGUAAUACGAAGGUGGCAAGCGUUGUCCGGAUUUACUGGGUGUAAGGGGUGUGUAGCCGGUUUGAGAAGUCAGAUGUGAAAUCCUGCGGCUUAACCGCAGAACUGCAUUUGAAACUGUUCGUCUUGAGUACUGGUGAGGCAGACGGAAUGCCUGGUGUAGCGGUGAAAUGCUUAGAGAUUA